rnacentral:tRNA from 1 species
UAUUCUCUUAGUAUAAAAAGUAUAUUAAGCUUCCAACUUUAAGGUUUUAGAAGAGAAUAA